GACGAACGCUGGCGGCGUGCUUAACACAUGCAAGUCGAACGGAAAGGCCCUGCUUUUGUGGGGUGCUCGAGUGGCGAACGGGUGAGUAACACGUGAGUAACCUGCCCUUGACUUUGGGAUAACUUCAGGAAACUGGGGCUAAUAUCGGAUAGGAGCUCCCGUUGCAUGGUGGGGGUUGGAAAGUUUCGGCGGGUGGGGAUGGACUCGCGGCUUAUCAGCUUGUUGGUUGGGGAGUUGCUUACCAAGGCUUUGACGGGUAGCCGGCAUGAGAGGGUGACCGGCGACAUUGGGACUGAGAUACGGCGCAGACUCCUACGGGAGGCAGCAGUGGGGAAUAUUGCACAAUGGGAGGAAGCCUGAUGCGGCAACGCCGCGUGCGGGAUGACGGCCUUCGGGUUGUAAACCGCUUUCGCCUGUGACGAAGCGUGAGUGACGGUAAUGGAUAAAGAAGCACCGGCUAACUACGUG
rnacentral:rRNA from 1 species